GACGAACGCUGGCGGCGUGCUUAACACAUGCAAGUCGAGCGGUAAGGCCUUUCGGGGUACACGAGCGGCGAACGGGUGAGUAACACGUGGGUGAUCUGCCCUGCACUUCGGGAUAAGCCUGGGAAACUGGGUCUAAUACCGGAUAUGACCUCCUAUCGCAUGGUGGGUGGUGGAAAGAUUUAUCGGUGCAGGAUGGGCCCGCGGCCUAUCAGCUUGUUGGUGGGGUAAUGGCCUACCAAGGCGACGACGGGUAGCCGACCUGAGAGGGUGACCGGCCACACUGGGACUGAGACACGGCCCAGACUCCUACGGUAGGCAGCAGUGGGGAAUAUUGCACAAUGGGCGAAAGCCUGAUGCAGCGACGCCGCGUGAGGGAUGACGGCCUUCGGGUUGUAAACCUCUUUCAGCAGGGACGAAGCGCAAGUGACGGUACCUGCAGAAGAAGCACCGGCUAACUACGUG
rnacentral:rRNA from 1 species